rnacentral:tRNA from 1 species
CCUUGUCUAGCUUAGUUGGUGAAAUAUAAGGCUUUUAACCUUGUGGUCGUGAGUUCAAGCCCCACGAUGGGUG